rnacentral:rRNA from 1 species
GACGAACGCUGGCGGCGCGCCUAACACAUGCAAGUCGAACGGAGCUGAGAGAAGCUUGCUUUUCUUAGCUUAGUGGCGAACGGGUGAGUAACGCGUGAGUAACCUGCCCUGGAGUGGGGGACGACAGUUGGAAACGACUGCUAAUACCGCAUAAGCCCACGAUCCGGCAUCGGAUUGAGGGAAAAGGAUUUAUUCGCUUCAGGAUGGACUCGCGUCCAAUUAGCUAGUUGGUGAGGUAACGGCCCACCAAGGCGACGAUUGGUAGCCGGACUGAGAGGUUGAACGGCCACAUUGGGACUGAGACACGGCCCAGACUCCUACGGGAGGCAGCAGUGGGGGAUAUUGCACAAUGGGGGAAACCCUGAUGCAGCGACGCCGCGUGGAGGAAGAAGGUUUUCGGAUUGUAAACUCCUGUCGUUAGGGACGAUAAUGACGGUACCUAACAAGAAAGCACCGGCUAACUACGUG